UUGAAACACCGAUUUCUGUACAAUCACCGAAGUUAAGCAAUAUCAAGCCUUAUCAGUACCUAGAUGAGUGACAGCUUGGGAAUACCAGGUGUUGUAAG